rnacentral:lncRNA from 1 species
GAACAAUGAUAUUACCCAUAGUCCUUUAGAUUCUGAAAUGGCUAGUGGUCCAUAAAUAAAAAUGUUAUUUAAAUUCUGAAUUUUUCAAUGUUUUCAAAUAUGUUAAUACAUGUAUAACAUGUAUAAACGUUUGUUGAAUACAGACUACAAUGUUUCAAAACUUUUGUCUCAAAUUAAUUUGCGCCUGUCCCGAGUCAAUAGCCUCUGGCCUUUGUUAGUCUUGUAUUAUAAUUUUAAUUUUAGUUUCUUGUGUACAAUUUGGAAAUUAGUAUGGCGUUCAUUAUCACUGAACUAGUAUAUAUUUGUUUAGGGACC